rnacentral:rRNA from 1 species
CAGCCGCCGCGGGAAUACGAAGGGGGCUAGCGUUGUUCGGAAUCACUGGGCGUAAAGCGCACGUAGGCGGACUCUUAAGUCAGGGGUGAAAUCCCAAGGCUCAACCUUGGAACUGCCUUUGAUACUGGAAGUCUUGAGUUCGGGAGAGGUGAGUGGAACUGCGAGUGUAGAGGUGAAAUUCGUAGAUAUUCGCAAGAACACCAGUGGCGAAGGCGGCUCACUGGCCCGAUACUGACGCUGAGGUGCGAAAGCGUGGGGAGCAAACAGGAUUAGAUACCCGAGUAGUCCCUGUCUCUUAUAC